rnacentral:rRNA from 1 species
CCUACGGGUGGCAGCAGUGGGGAAUAUUGGACAAUGGGGGAAACCCUGAUCCAGCGACGCCGCGUGAGUGAAGAAGUAAUUCGUUAUGUAAAGCUCUAUCAGCAGGGAAGAAAAUGACGGUACCUGAGUAAGAAGCCCCGGCUAACUACGUGCCAGCAGCCGCGGUAAUACGUAGGGGGCCAGCGUUAUCCGGAUUUCCUGGGUGUAAAGGGAGCGUCGACGGUAGUGCAAGUCUGUAGUGAAAGGCUGGGGCUCAACCCCCGGACUGCACUGGAAACUGUACGGCUGGAGUACAGGAGAGGUAAGCGGAAUUCGUAGUGUAGCGGUGAAAUGCGUAGAUAUUAGGAGGAACACCAGUGGCGAAGGCGGCUUACUGGACUGUAACUGACGUUGAGGCUCGAAAGCGUGGGGAGCAAACAGGAUUAGAUACCCUAGUAGUC